UUAUACAGAAUUAAAAAUAUGAUAAGAGAAACAACUUAUCUGCGAAAAUUUGCUAUAAGAAAGACUCAGAAAGUUCUGUAGACUUAACAUGCAUACUUGAAAGUUAUUUACGGACGGUAGUGUCUAACGGAGACAAGUCGAAUAAUAUUAGAAGAGAAGAUUAACAGAAUUUAAUAGACGUCUUCGGUCACAAAGAGUUGGAGAAUGGAGCCAAAUAAAGUUAAUUCAGCUAGCAGUUUCCAUGACAACCAACUCCCCCAUCGAUCCCCGAAUUCAUUCUGGAUGCUUCACCCCUUUGAAACCCCAAACCGUUCAGCCAUCUGUCUUCCAGGAUGUCAUUUUGAUCUGCUGAUUCAUUCAAACGGUAAGUCACGUUUUUUUUUUUUUUUUAAGUAUUCUCACGUAUCUUUUAAUUGAUCACCGCAUUGAUAUACCCUGUAAGAAAUUCCAUCAAUAAGAAUUUAUCUAAUU